CAGUCGCCGCGGGAAUACAGAGGGUGCGAGCGUUAAUCGGAUUUACUGGGCGUAAAGCGUGCGUAGGCGGCUUCUUAAGUCGGAUGUGAAAUCCCUGAGCUUAACUUAGGAAUUGCAUUCGAUACUGGGAAGCUAGAGUAUGGGAGAGGAUGGUAGAAUUCCAGGUGUAGCGGUGAAAUGCGUAGAGAUCUGGAGCAAUACCGAUGGCGAAGGCAGCCAUCUGGCCUAAUACUGACGCUGAGGUACGAAAGCAUGGGGAGCAAACAGGAUUAGAUACCCCCGUAGUCCCUGUCUCUUAUCC
rnacentral:rRNA from 1 species